rnacentral:pre_miRNA from 1 species
GAACUUAGGGUCUAACCCAAAGUCCAUUGAAGUCAAUGGGAGUCAUUCCACUGACUUCAAUGGGCUUUGGAUCAGGCCCUCAGACC